rnacentral:rRNA from 1 species
GACGAACGCUGGCGGCGUGCUUAACACAUGCAAGUCGAACGGAAAGGCCCUGCUUUUGUGGGGUGCUCGAGUGGCGAACGGGUGAGUAACACGUGAGUAACCUGCCCUUGACUUUGGGAUAACUUCAGGAAACUGGGGCUAAUACCGGAUAGGAGCUCCUGCUGCAUGGCGGGGGUUGGAAAGUUUCGGCGGUAGGGGAUGGACUCGCGGCUUAUCAGCUUGUUGGUGGGGUAGUGGCUUACCAAGGCUUUGACGGGUAGCCGGCCUGAGAGGGUGACCGGCCACAUUGGGACUGAGAUACGGCCCAGACUCCUACGGGAGGCAGCAGUGGGGAAUAUUGCACAAUGGGCGGAAGCCUGAUGCAGCAACGCCGCGUGCGGGAUGACGGCCUUCGGGUUGUAAACCGCUUUCGCCUGUGACGAAGCGAGAGUGACGGUAAUUGGUAAAGAAGCACCGGCUAACUACGUG